rnacentral:snoRNA from 1 species
GGCACGUGAUGCUGUUCUCUCACGAUGGUCUGCCGAGCCCCGGGCCGGGGCUCUGACGACAGCGCCAACGGCUUUGCUGAUGCCAAAGG